rnacentral:misc_RNA from 1 species
UGACUACUGGCAGGAUCAACCAGGUAGCACUCCUCGAGCGACAUCAGCACGCAUGAGCCCUUCCGAAUCACGAAAGGGUCAACUCGUACUAGAUUGUCGUCCGUGCUUAGCGUAAAACGCUACAUUGGGUGUGCAACGCAUUCACGUCAACUCCCACUCAACAUUCCGCAUCCCGGGGCACAACCAAAGACCAUUACCCUUUCUGAAGUGCUUAAUUUAGCAAAUUCAGUGGAUAACAGACUUGAUUUUAUGGUUCACCAGACACCCCGCUAAGGAUGUAGGGCGAAAUACACAAUUUCAAGGCAACCGAUACCAUCACUAGGAAUUCAACACAGGAAACCACAUGUUGCCCAAGGCUCAAUUGCACUUGGGGCAAACAAUGAAGAGGUUUGCUAGUGAACGGUUCAGUGCAAAAGCAAAGAGCCCGCCAACCACACAAGCCAAAUACCACUCAUACGCUUCCCGUACUGCUUUGCUUCGACCAACCCCAGAACCAUGACGAAAUUUAAUUAUCCCGACAUGGCCCAAAGUGGCCUCCGCUAGCACCGUUAGGCGUGAAAGAGAACAAUCCUUGGGACAUCAACCGCAGUGAAAUGAGUCCGCCCUCCCCCCAAAGGGAUCUCGAGGCCCCUCU